AUGUUCUCAUUCUCUCCGUGUGAGGGAAACAGGUUCACAUGGACAAGCCAAAGCUGUUGCCCUGCCAGGCAUCUUAGGGGCAGGGGCUACUGUGGCUACACUAUUACUGAUCCUUGGAAUUGGACUCUGCCUUUGGAAGAAGAAGAAGAAGAAGAAGAUGGAGACUGCAAGAGGCAGGUUGCCCUUCUCCUUUCUGGCCGAGUUUUCUCCCCUCACCCUUCCUCCUGCAUUUUGCUGCUCCAGGAAUACCUAUGUAGAGGGGAUGGUGGAUUUGGUCAUGGCCUUGGGGUUCAUAACAGUGGGAGAGGGUAUGGGUUUUCAAGGCCCGGGUUCAAGUUUCACUUUGUGUAUGACUCUGGAGCAGGAUUGCAGGAGGAGUCUAAGGACCGUGACGGUGGCAUCCAAUAUGUAGAGCUGAGCCAGCAGGAUUCUCGAGAGAGCACGGACCAGGGUGAUGGUGAACGACGUCUAAAUGAAAAGGAGUCUCUUAAUACUGUCUACAGUGAGGUCCAUAAGCCAGCAAGUGUGCCCAUGAAGAUAAUUUAAUUGGAGGAGGCAGAAGAAUUGACACUCCUAGGACACCUCCAUUCUGAAUUUGAUCCCUGCAGAUACCUGCCCCUACGAGUGCUGGUCCAGCACCAGCUGCCUCUGGUCUGCAUUCCUCUGACCUUUGUGCCCUCAACUCCCUGGGCUCACGUGGCCCUGUCACUUCCUCUGUCAACUCUAUAUGCUGCCUUCCACUCAGGUUCCUCACUCCAGAAGGACUAGUGCUCUUUCUCCGUCAUUGACUCUGCUCCUGAUUCCUCUCCUUCUGAAGUUUCCCUAGGAGGAUCUCCCUACCUGUGCAUGUGUUCAUCCCCACAGCCUCUGCGCUGUGGCUGGUGUGUAUCUUUCUGAGAACAGGAGCCUGGGCGUGGGGACUGUGUGGAGGUUUCGACUACACCAUAGAGGGAGUUAGGAACUUGGAGCUGGGUGUUGAGCUGAGUGUCCAUGGAGGUGGCCUGGAUGGAUGGGUAGGAGCCUACAAAAGACGGGCCUGAGGCGUCCUUUGUAUGGCAAAAGGUGUUGGAGGGACUGUCUAGUAUACAUCAUACAUGGGGGCCAGAGCCCUUGAUCCUGAU
rnacentral:lncRNA from 1 species